rnacentral:rRNA from 1 species
UACGAGGGGGGCGAGCGUUGUUCGGAAUUAUUGGGCGUAAAGGGUGCGUAGGCGGUUCCGCAAGUCCUGUGUGAAAUCUUCGGGCUUAACUCGAAGCCUGCACGGGAAACUGCGGGGCUUGAGUGUGGGAGAGGUGAGUGGAAUUCCCGGUGUAGCGGUGAAAUGCGUAGAUAUCAGGAGGAACACCUGUGGCGAAAGCGGCUCACUGGACCAUAACUGACGCUGAUGCACGAAAGCUAGGGGAGCAAACAGG